rnacentral:rRNA from 1 species
AACGCUGGCGGCGCGCUUAACACAUGCAAGUCGAGCGAGAACCGGGGCUUCGGCCCCGGGGACAGCGGCGAACGGGUGAGUAACACGUGGGUAAUCUGCCCUCAGUACCGGGAUAGCCCGGGGAAACUCGGAUUAAUACCGGAUGGUCUCACGAGCCUUCGGGCGCGUGAGAAAAGGUAGCUUCGGCCUCUGACCGAGGAUGAGCCCGCGGUGGAUUAGCUUGUUGGCGGGGUAAUGGCUCACCAAGGCGACGAUCCAUAGCUGGUCUGAAGGGACGAUGAGCCGCACUGGGACGGAGACACGGCCCAGACUCCUACGGGAGGCAGCAGUGGGGGAUCUUGCGCAAUGGGCGAAGGCCUGACGCAGCGACGCCGCGUGGGGGAAGAAGGCCUUAGGGUUGUAAACCUCUUUCAGGUGGGACGAAGCCACUCGGGUGAAUAGCCCAGAGAGUGACGGUACCGCCAGAAGAAGCCCCGGCUAACUACGUGCCAGCAGCCGCCGUAACAC